UCGGGACUUUGAGAGCGGCGUACGGGUGCGUAACACGUGUGCAACCUACCUUUAUCUGGGGAAUAGCCUUUCGAAAGGAAGAUUAACACCCCAUAAUAUAAUGAUUGGCAUCAAUUAUUAUUGAAAACUCCGGUGGAUAGAGAUGGGCACGCGCAAGAUUAGAUAGUUGGUGAGGUAACGGCUCACCAAGUCUGUGAUCUUUAGGGGUCCUGAGAGGGAGAUCCCCCACACUGGUACUGAGACACGGACCAGACUCCUACGGGAGGCAGCAGUGAGGAAUAUUGGACAAUGGGUGAAAGCCUGAUCCAGCCAUCCCGCGUGAAGGAUGACGGUCCUAUGGAUUGUAAACUUCUUUUGUACAGGAAUAAACCUACUCUCGUGAGAGUAGCUGAAGGUACUGUACGAAUAAGCACCGGCUAACUCCGUGCCAGCAGCCGCGGUAAUACGGAGGGUGCAAGCGUUAUCCGGAUUUAUUGGGUUUAAAGGGUCCGUAGGCGGGCCUGUAAGUCAGUGGUGAAAUCUCAUAGCUUAACUAUGAAACUGCCAUUGAUACUGCAGGUCUUGAGUAAAUUUGAAGUGGCUGGAAUAAGUAGUGUAGCGGUGAAAUGCAUAGAUAUUACUUAGAACACCAAUUGCGAAGGCAGGUCACUAAGAUUUAACUGACGCUGAUGGACGAAAGCGUGGGUAGCGAACAGGAUUAG
rnacentral:rRNA from 1 species